UCCGCGGCGCGCGCGACGCGUGCGGCGUUGCCAGCCGGAGCCGCUCCCGUGCUCCCAUUCGCGGCCUCGCAUCCUUCGCCCGGCCGCUGUGAAGCUGCUGCUCGCCAGCGACGGCACGAACUGCUUGCCUCACGCACCAUGCAUGCAUGGCACCGUGUCGCAGGCGAACUGAUCCGAAUAGGAGGUCAUUGCCGUGCCAUCAGCGCGACAGCUCGCCACUAUCCGUGCCGUGCGUGGAUCCAGCAUUCUGCCCAAGUGCCCCGGGCCUGCCUCUGCCAAAAUAUCUCGGCUGGGUCGAUGAUGUUACACGUGGUCAGGUCCCCGCAAGAAGGAAUUGAUCGUCGUCCCAGACAACCAGAAGAUCUAGGAGGACUUCCCGGAUGACUAGAAGACCCCGGAAGACUACGAAGAACCACCAGGUUGGCCCGUGCUUCGCUCAAGGUUGCCUAUGGAGGGGUGUUCUCCAAGAUGAAGGAUGGCCCAGAAACUUAGCUACCGCUUCCAUUUUCUAUUUGUUGGGCUUGUACUAUAAAACUCGUGAUACAAUUUUUCGGAUUAUAUAAUAAUUAAAUCCAUAUCUGAAUCUGUGCGAUGUAUGACUAAGAUAUCUAUCUAAGAUGAGUUUUUUACGUAAUAGCU